GAAAUGCGAUAAGUAGUGUGAAUUGCAGAAUUCAGUGAAUCAUCGAAUCUUUGAACGCACAUUGCGCCCCUUGGUAUUCCAUGGCAUGCCUGUUCGAGCGUCAUUUGUACCCUCAAGCUCUGCUUGGUGUUGGGUGUUUGUCCCGUCUCCGCGCGUGGACUCGCCCCAAAGUGAUUGGCAGCCGGCGUACUGGUCCCGGAGCGCAGCACAUGUCGCGCAAACGAGUGCCUUGGUACGGCGGCGUCCAUAAGCCCCUCUCUCACGCUCUUGACCUCGGAUCAGGUAGGGAUACCCGCUGAACUUAAGC
rnacentral:misc_RNA from 1 species